CAGAAAUGAUGAUACCAGAGAAUGGUUUUGCAUACAUGACUGAUCUCAUGUGAUGUCACACGUCUCUUGGCUGUCUGAUUUA
ensembl:snoRNA small nucleolar RNA SNORD53/SNORD92